rnacentral:rRNA from 1 species
AGUGAACGCUGGCGGUAGGCCUAACACAUGCAAGUCGAACGGCAGCACAGUAAGAGCUUGCUCUUACGGGUGGCGAGUGGCGGACGGGUGAGGAAUACAUCGGAAUCUACUUUUUCGUGGGGGAUAACGUAGGGAAACUUACGCUAUUACCGCAUACGACCUACGGGUGAAAGCAGGGGACCUUCGGCCCUUGCGCGAUUGAAUGAGCGGAUGUCGGAUUAGCUAGUUGGCGGGGUAAAGGCCCACCAAGGCGACGAUCCGUAGCUGGUCUGAGAGGAUGAUCAGCCACACUGGAACUGAGACACGGUCCAGACUCCUACGGGAGGCAGCAGUGGGGAAUAUUGGACAAAGGGCGCAAGCCUGAUCCAGCCAUACCGCGUGGGUGAAGAAGGCCUUCGGGUUGUAAAGCCCUUUUGUUGGGAAAGAAAAGCAGCAGGUUAAUACCCCGCUGUUCUGACGGUACCCAAAGAAUAAGCACCGGCUAACUUCGUG